UCCCAUGCCGAACACAGAAGUUAAGCUCUUUAGCGCCGAUGGUAGUUGGACUGACGUCCUGUGAGAGUAGGACGUUGCCGGGC
rnacentral:rRNA from 1 species